CAAGAUCUUCAACCUACACACUGGUUCUACGUUGCUCAAAGUUCUCUUGAGCUGACAAUCUCGUGACUCCAGAGGCAGAUAAGAAAGAAGGUCGGAGUCCAAAGACCACUGAAUUUGGAAUCAGAAGCUCAGUUGGAAUCGCAGCUCCGCUCUGUGCUUUUGAUGGAAACCUGAGUGGAACUCACAGUGAAGAAAUUGCUCUCAUCCCUCGCAUAAGUCUUCAUCAAUAUGUAAUCCUAAAGAGUUGUCUGGUACAAUGAAAUAUUCAAUAUGAAGGGACCCAUAGCCCAGACAUGUCAGAUAUAAUUAUGAUGCAUAAGGAUUUCUGCUCCAGCCUUUUACUUUGAAUCUGUGUGUGUCACUCUUCCUCAAAUGUUUUUCUUGUAAACAACAUAUAGUAGGAUUCUGGAUUUUAAUCCACUCUGCCAGCCACUUCUGCUUUAUAGCACUAGAAGCUUGGUCUUAUUGUCGUUUCCACUUCACAGAAGUAGAAAAUGAGGCAAACAGAAGGGUGAGAUAUAUUGCUACAUUCCUUGGGUCUGGCCUGCUCUCCAGUUUUCCUAGAAGUUUUUUUGUCAAAUAUGGAUCAUGGCCAGAUAUGAAGAGGAAAUGGAUCUCAUUCUUGGUGAGAAAACCUUGUAUUCCAUAUUUUCUUAGCUGACACAGAGUGUCAAUGAUUGUAAGCUACAUUUUUGAAUUUUUAAAACUCUUUUAUUAUGUUUUUCUUGCAUGUGCAAUUUAUUUUUUCUCUCCUUUUUAUAUUUGAAGCCCAUGUCACCAGUAUUAAGAUUUUCUUUAACUUUUUAAUUUUACAGUAAUAUAAGAUUAAAAUACAUUUGCUAUAAUGUCAAUGCAUGCCCCCAAAACUUGAGACUAUAAAAAUGAUGCUAUUAAUUGUUUAAAAAAUUUAUGCGACUUUACUUAAUGAUUCUGUCUGAUUCCAGGACAAGAUACACAAAAGAGACAUUGCAUAGGGUCAAAGAGAAACCAAUCCAGGAUGGAUUGAUGCACUUCUAAGCCAAUACAAAGAUCUUGAACCUAGUGAUAAGACUCAAGGUUGAGAUGCUUAACAUACAUUAAGACCUUUUGAACCUUAAAAAUUCUCAGACCCUACUUCAUAAGGUUUGGUUAAGACCAUUCACCACUUUAAACAAUGAAGGGACUUAGAUCAUGAAUGUGAGAUCUCUACUCCACCCCUACUUAAGCCUGCUUUAGAGAAGAAACUCUUUGCUGAACAAUGAAAAAUAAUUAAACCCAUACUUAUAGUAAGGCAAAAGUUCUUAAGCCAUGCCUAAUUUUAGAUCUAAUACAAAAGGGUGCUAAGUACCUAUGAAAGUCAGGCAACUUGUGAAUUUACAAGGAGCAAAGAGGUGAGACUUAGAGAUUUUUUCAGGUGUGAACUUAAUCAAAGGUUUAAAGUCUACUCAGGUGUGACUUAAGAAUGGUCUGUCCUUUGGAAAACAUCUACUAUGAUUGGUAGAUGUGAGAACUUAGGGGACGAGACAUAGGAGAAAAUGCCCUUUAAAUAGGAGCUCAAAUAGAGCUGGGGAUAAUUCAGCUGGGAAACAGCUGAAAGAUACACAUUCAGCUGGUGGAGUCAGCUGAGAUGGAGCUGGCCUGGUGUCUCUAUGAACACUAGAAUCUUGCUUGGGACAAAUCUU
ensembl:lncRNA